GCGCUCGUAGCUCAAUUGGAUAGAGUGGUGGACUUCGAAUCCAAAGGUUGCCAGGUUCAAGUCCUGCCGGGCGCGCCA
rnacentral:tRNA from 1 species